rnacentral:rRNA from 1 species
GACGAACGCUGGCGGCGUGCUUAACACAUGCCAGUCGAACGGAAAGGCCCUGCUUUUGUGGGGUGCUCGAGUGGCGAACGGGUGAGUAACACGUGAGUAACCUGCCCUUGACUUUGGGAUAACUUCAGGAAACUGGGGCUAAUACCGGAUAGGCGCUCCUGCUGCAUGGUGGGGGUUGGAAAGUUUCGGCGGUUGGGGAUGGACUCGCGGCUUAUCAGCUUGUUGGUGGGGUAGUGGCUUACCAAGGCUUUGACGGGUAGCCGGCCUGAGAGGGUGACCGGCCACAUUGGGACUGAGAUACGGCCCAGACUCCUACGGGAGGCAGCAGUGGGGAAUAUUGCACAAUGGGCGGAAGCCUGAUGCAGCAACGCCGCGUGCGGGAUGACGGCCUUCGGGUUGUAAACCGCUUUCGCCUGUGACGAAGCGUGAGUGACGGUAAUGGGUAAAGAAGCACCGGCUAACUACGUG